AGAUGAAGUGCCUGAAAAAAGGAGUAUCUUGAUAGGAUAAUGCAUGCAAUGACCCUGCCUCAUCUA
rnacentral:tRNA from 1 species